rnacentral:rRNA from 1 species
GACGAACGCUGGCGGCGUGCUUAACACAUGCAAGUCGAACGAAGAGCGACGGAAGCUUGCUUCUAUCAAUCUUAGUGGCGAACGGGUGAGUAACGCGUAAUCAACCUGCCCUUCAGAGGGGGACAACAGUUGGAAACGACUGCUAAUACCGCAUACGAUCUAACCUCGGCAUCGAGGAUAGAUGAAAGGUGGCCUCUACAUGUAAGCUAUCACUGAAGGAGGGCAUUGCGUCUGAUUAGCUAGUUGGAGGGGUAACGGCCCACCAAGGCGAUGAUCAGUAGCCGGUCUGAGAGGAUGAACGGCCACAUUGGGACUGAGACACGGCCCAGACUCCUACGGGAGGCAGCAGUGGGGAAUCUUCCGCAAUGGACGAAAGUCUGACGGAGCAACGCCGCGUGAGUGAUGACGGCCUUCGGGUUGUAAAGCUCUGUUAAUCGGGACGAAAGGCCUUCUUGCGAAUAGUGAGAAGGAUUGACGGUACCGGAAGAGAAAGCCACGGCUAACUACGUG